GAUGAACGCUGGCGGCGUGCCUAAUACAUGCAAGUCGAGCGAACAGACGAGGAGCUUGCUUCUCUGACGUUAGCGGCGGACGGGUGAGUAACACGUGGAUAACCUACCUAUAAGACUGGGAUAACUUCGGGAAACCGGAGCUAAUACCGGAUCAUAUAUUGAACCGCAUGGUUCAUUAGUGAAAGACGUAUUUGCUGUCCCUUAUAGAUGGAUCCGCGCCGCAUUAGCUAGUUGGUAAGGUAACGGCCUACCAAGGCAACGAUGCGUAGCCGACCUGAGAGGGUGAUCAGGCACACUGGAACUGAGACACGGUCCAGACUCCUACGGGAGGCAGCAGUAGGGAAUCUUCGGCAAUGGGCGAAAGCCUGACGGAGCAACGCCGCGUGAGUGAUGAAGGUCUUCGGAUCGUAAAGCUCUGUUAUUAGGGAGGAACAAAUGUGUAAGUAACUAUGCACGUCUUGACGGUACCUACAGAGAAAGCCACGGCUAACUACGUG
rnacentral:rRNA from 1 species